rnacentral:rRNA from 1 species
CGGCGUGCCUAAUACAUGCAAGUCGAGCGAGCGGAACUAACAGAUUUACUUCGGUAAUGACGUUAGGAAAGCGAGCGGCGGAUGGGUGAGUAACACGUGGGGAACCUGCCCCAUAGUCUGGGAUACCACUUGGAAACAGGUGCUAAUACCGGAUAAGAAAGCAGAUCGCAUGAUCAGCUUUUAAAAGGCGGCGUAAGCUGUCGCUAUGGGAUGGCCCCGCGGUGCAUUAGCUAGUUGGUAAGGUAAAGGCUUACCAAGGCGAUGAUGCAUAGCCGAGUUGAGAGACUGAUCGGCCACAUUGGGACUGAGACACGGCCCAAACUCCUACGGGAGGCAGCAGUAGGGAAUCUUCCACAAUGGACGCAAGUCUGAUGGAGCAACGCCGCGUGAGUGAAGAAGGUUUUCGGAUCGUAAAGCUCUGUUGUUGGUGAAGAAGGAUAGAGGUAGUAACUGGCCUUUAUUUGACGGUAAUCAACCAGAAAGUCACGGCUAACUACGUGCCAGCAGCCGCGGUAAUACGUAGGUGGCAAGCGUUGUCCGGAUUUAUUGGGCGUAAAGCGAGCGCAGGCGGAAGAAUAAGUCUGAUGUGAAAGCCCUCGGCUUAACCGAGGAACUGCAUCGGAAACUGUUUUUCUUGAGUGCAGAAGAGGAGAGUGGAACUCCAUGUGUAGCGGUGGAAUGCGUAGAUAUAUGGAAGAACACCAGUGGCGAAGGCGGCUCUCUGGUCUGCAACUGACGCUGAGGCUCGAAAGCAUGGGUAGCGAACAGGAUUAGAUACCCUGGUAGUCCAUGCCGUAAACGAUGAGUGCUAAGUGUUGGGAGGUUUCCGCCUCUCAGUGCUGCAGCUAACGCAUUAAGCACUCCGCCUGGGGAGUACGACCGCAAGGUUGAAACUCAAAGGAAUUGACGGGGGCCCGCACAAGCGGUGGAGCAUGUGGUUUAAUUCGAAGCAACGCGAAGAACCUUACCAGGUCUUGACAUCUAGUGUCAUUUGUAGAGAUACAAAGUUCCCUUCGGGGACGCUAAGACAGGUGGUGCAUGGCUGUCGUCAGCUCGUGUCGUGAGAUGUUGGGUUAAGUCCCGCAACGAGCGCAACCCUUGUUAUUAGUUGCCAGCAUUAAGUUGGGCACUCUAAUGAGACUGCCGGUGACAAACCGGAGGAAGGUGGGGAUGACGUCAAGUCAUCAUGCCCCUUAUGACCUGGGCUACACACGUGCUACAAUGGGCAGUACAACGAGAAGCGAGCCUGCGAAGGCAAGCGAAUCUCUGAAAGCUGUUCUCAGUUCGGACUGCAGUCUGCAACUCGACUGCACGAAGCUGGAAUCGCUAGUAAUCGCGGAUCAGCACGCCGCGGUGAAUACGUUCCCGGGCCUUGUACACACCGCCCGUCACACCAUGGGAGUCUGCAAUGCCCAAAGCCGGUGGCCUAACCUUCGGGAAGGAGCCGUCUAAGGCAGGGCAGAUGACUGG